rnacentral:lncRNA from 1 species
GGUGGUGGAGGCAGUUUGUGUUGUUGUUGUGGUCGUAGUUGUGUGCAUAGCACCACGUUUUGCUAAGAUGCCACUAUUUUUUGUCCCAGAAAAGACUCGAGCAGCUCCUGUACAGCAACCGUUUCUUUAAAGAAGAUUUUUCUGUGGUUCUCCAGCCCUUCCUCAAACAUGCAGACCCCCCAAGACUCACGAAUGGGAAGAUUGACAUGAGCUUCUUCACCCCAGACUGUUUUCACUUCACCAUGAAGGGACAUGAGGAACUGGCUAAAGGCCUCUGGAACAACAUGUUUCAGCCCGAGGAAGCCAAGUUCAUGGUUGAGAGUUUCUCCAACCCCAUCCAGCUCAAAUGUCCAUCCCCGGAUCAUCCAUACAUUUACACAAGACCCAGUUCCUCCAAAAUAAACCAGUCCACUCCGUCUGGCAGCACAACAUCCUCCUGCCGUCUGCCGGGUGUCAUCUUUCCAUUCCUCCUCGCUCUUAUCUGCCUCCUCCUCUUAUCCUCUUUGUAACUAAAAGCUCCUCUCCUUCCGGGCUGGAGGGCAUCUGACAAUUUGAAGUGCUGCUGCAACCUUCCCGAUCAAGCCCAUUUGCCCUUCUCUCAAACUCGCAGAACAAAAAGCGACCACUAGAGGACGUGCAUGUGCAUCC